rnacentral:lncRNA from 1 species
CACAUUAUAACAUCAACUAGCUGUUUGAUUUCCAGCCUGGAGUAAAAAGCUGGAAGGAGCUUCAUUGCUAUGAAGGUUAUAGUUUCCUCUGUGGCUGUAUUUUCUAAUCCUGAAGAAAAAAUACAGAAAUGUUGAAGAACAAACUCUACAGCGAGAUGGGAUGUUAGGAAACAUCUGGAGACCUCUCAUCCAGAAGGCCUAAUGUUCUCCUCUCCCCAGUCAAAAAACACCUGGGGAUGAUGAAAAUGAUUGUCUUAGGUAAGUGUAGUGGAUAAUACUACAUGAAGUGCUACCAAGCUUUUCAGGCCUCAAUCUGUGGGAAG